UACGUAGGGUGCAAGCGUUGUCCGGAAUUAUUGGGCGUAAAGAGCUCGUAGGCGGUUUGUCGCGUCUGCUGUGAAAACGCGAGGCUCAACCUCGCGCCUGCAGUGGGUACGGGCAGACUAGAGUGUGGUAGGGGAGAUUGGAAUUCCUGGUGUAGCGGUGGAAUGCGCAGAUAUCAGGAGGAACACCAAUGGCGAAGGCAGAUCUCUGGGCCGUAACUGACGCUGAGGAGCGAAAGCAUGGGGAGCGAACAGG
rnacentral:rRNA from 1 species